rnacentral:lncRNA from 13 species
ACAUAUGGACCUUCAUGAAUCAGAGGAAGAAUGAGGCCUGGAGUCAUAAAGGGGCUUGACUGAAGUCACAGGGCUCAUGGCAGGACCAGUAUCAAAAUAGACCCAGUGUGCGGCAGCCACCAUGUAAGAAGUGCCUUUUGUCUCCCGCCAUGAUUCUCUGAGGCCUCCCUAGCCAUGUGGAAGUGUUGUAAUGAGACAAUUUCCCAUCCUCAUUUACUGAGUGCUGACAAUGUGCCACUCACUGAGCUUAGGAUUUUAUGAACAUCAUCAAACAUACGACAGGUAAGGGAGGAAUCUAUCUCCCAUUUAAUAGAUGAGGAGACUGAGGUUGAUAGAUGUUAAGUGAUUUGCAAGUCACACAGCUCUAUCUCUGUCACCUUUACUUAAUGUAAAUAAGGUAUGUACACUGUCUGACACAUACAGAGUCCUUGUUUCAGGUGAAUUUCUGUGUCUUUCCCCUUUAAAGAGUCCUGAAAACUUCUAGGUCACUGGACUUUUACUUUCUGAUGAACUUCACCCAAGGGACAACCAGCUGAUGUGAUCAGCUACCAUUACCCAAGUUUCAAAGUUCAUUGUUGCUUAAAAAAAAUAAGGCUAUUAUUAGCAGCAAUCAGAGGGCAAUCAGUCAGGAGUCUUUGG